rnacentral:rRNA from 1 species
UACAGAGGUCCCAAGCGUUGUUCGGAUUCAUUGGGCGUAAAGGGUGCGUAGGUGGUGGGGUAAGUCGGAUGUGAAAUCCCGGGGCUCAACCCCGGAACUGCAUUCGAUACUGCCUUGCUCGAGUACUGGAGAGGAGACUGGAAUUUACGGUGUAGCAGUGAAAUGCGUAGAUAUCGUAAGGAAGACCAGUGGCGAAGGCGAGUCUCUGGACAGUUACUGACACUGAGGCACGAAGGCCAGGGGAGCAAACGGG